rnacentral:rRNA from 1 species
CGGACGGGUGAGUAACACGUGGAUAACCUACCUAUAAGACUGGGAUAACUUCGGGAAACCGGAGCUAAUACCGGAUAAUAUAUUGAACCGCAUGGUUCAAUAGUGAAAGACGGUUUUGCUGUCACUUAUAGAUGGAUCCGCGCCGCAUUAGCUAGUUGGUAAGGUAACGGCUUACCAAGGCAACGAUGCGUAGCCGACCUGAGAGGGUGAUCGGCCACACUGGGAACUGAGACACGGUCCAGACUCCUACGGGAGGCAGCAGCA